AGCCGAAUUGUGUAAUGGUAGCACCCAUGACUCUGACUCAUGUUGUCUAGGUUCGAAUCCUAGUUCGGCUGCCA
rnacentral:tRNA from 1 species